rnacentral:rRNA from 1 species
UACGUAGGGGGCAAGCGUUGUCCGGAAUCAUUGGGCGUAAAGAGCGCGUAGGCGGUCCGGUAAGUCGGUUGUGAAAACUGGGGGCUCAACCCUCAGAGGCCGACCGAUACUGCCGAGCUAGAGUCCGGAAGAGGCGAGUGGAAUUCCUGGUGUAGCGGUGAAAUGCGCAGAUAUCAGGAGGAACACCAAUGGCGAAGGCAGCUCGCUGGGACGGUACUGACGCUGAGGCGCGAAAGCGUGGGGAGCAAACAGG